AGAAAGAAAGACGGAGAAAAUUGAAAUUCCUUUGACUUGAAAUUGAAACCGUAACUUGGAGCAUCGCAAAGCUAUCAUCGGUUUUGAAUAAAAGCUUUUGAAAAUUCCUCGGCCAAUUCGAACGUGCUCGAUUAUAUCGGACUAAUGGAACUGGAAGUAUCGUUGUUCAGGAUCAGCAACAGCAAACCAGAGACCGCGGCAAACACGCCAGCGGACAUCAAACCAAGCGCCGGAAGCUUUUUGGAGGAAAGAAUUGGUCCAUCUUCGAGUUUGAGGUAGCACAGGCCAGGUAGAACGUAAGCUAGAGGUACAGCAGCGAGGAUUCCAUUCAAUUCGAGAACCACACCCAGACAAUCUGUUGACAUCGAUAUCAGCAUUUAGACAAAGCACGAAGAGCGUUAAAAUAUUUUGUAAUAUCGAAGGAAAAAAUGAAUAUAUAACACGAGUAAUUCUCAAAGAAUUUGAAUACUGGCCUAGAACUUAAGAAAAGAUAUUGCCAAAAUUAAGAUA